rnacentral:rRNA from 1 species
GACGAACGCUGGCGGCGUGCCUAAUACAUGCAAGUCGAGCGGACGGAUGGGAGCUUGCUCCCAGACCGUCAGCGGCGGACGGGUGAGUAACACGUGGGCAACCUGCCUGUAAGACUGGGAUAACUCCGGGAAACCGGGGCUAAUACCGGAUAACUCUUUCCCUCACAUGAGGGAAAGCUGAAAGAUGGCAUCUCGCUAUCACUUACAGAUGGGCCCGCGGCGCAUUAGCUAGUUGGUGAGGUAACGGCUCACCAAGGCGACGAUGCGUAGCCGACCUGAGAGGGUGAUCGGCCACACUGGGACUGAGACACGGCCCAGACUCCUACGGGAGGCAGCAGUAGGGAAUCUUCCGCAAUGGACGAAAGUCUGACGGAGCAACGCCGCGUGAGUGAUGAAGGUUUGCGGAUCGUAAAACUCUGUUGUCAGGGAAGAACAAGUACCGGAGCAACUGCCGGUACCUGGACGGUACCUGACCAGAAAGCCACGGCUAACUACGU